ACCAGGCGGCCACAGACCACAAUUAAUUCCUCUAUUAGUUCUUUAUAACUUUUUGUCUCAUUAAAAAAAAUGGACCUAAUCUUUUUGUCAAAUUUUUUGUGUGUGUAAUGUACAGUACAAGUCCAAAAACAUAUGUCCAAGUUUCAGAAAAAUUGCAUCUGUUUACAACUUACAAAUUUAGCCAAUACACAUCCAUACCCCUAUGGACAAGUCAAGAGAUGUUCCGAAAACUGUAAAUAUCACCUUUUUGCACCUGACCUAAUCACUCUUUCCAUAUCAAAAUCAGUUAAAAUAAAACAUCUAAAAAAUUAUUUCACCUCUCUUCUUUCAUUUCCACCCCAUAAAAAGCUAAGAAAUGAAUUGAGAAAAGGAAAGAAAAAAAUUUAAGAAAAAAUACACUAUAAUUAAGGGGAACUAUAUUCGUGAACAACGAAAAGCGGGGUCAUUAAUUGUGGUCUUGGGCCUAUUAGGGGCCAAAAACUUGACCAAUUCCAAUAAAACUUGGCAUGAUUUAAGCUUAGUGUAUUAUAAGUCAGUUUACAAAGUUUAAAAGCCAUAUGAUAUAUAUUAUAGAAAAUGUGGCAUUUUUUAUAUCUCAACUUUGGUUGCUGAAUUGAGACGUUGAAAUAGAAAAAUUUCAACUUUCAAAUUUUGGCUUCAAAAAUUUCCCCAAAACACCAAAUUGCACUUUUUUAUGUCUCAAUGUAUAAGAUAUUAUAUAUUCAAAGUAAAUGAUAGCAUACUUAAUGUAUGAGACUUAUAAAAAUUUGACAAAAAGUUAAUUUUAUAUGUGCCUAUGCCAAAAAAUAGAGGUUUUCAAAUGAAGCGAGGCCUUAUAUGAAAUGCAAUAUUUUCCACUUACAACAAUUUUCUGAAGUUGUUAAGUUAAAACAAAACAUUUAACAUAUCAUAAAUGUUCUUUUCAUGUAAAUAUAAGUUUCAAAAAGCAUAACACAUGAGUUUUACAUGGUAUUAAGCAAUGUCAAGCUUAAAAUAACAAGUUGUCAAUUUAGGCCGUUCCCUAUAUUUCCAUAUUUAAUUGCAUAUAAAUGAUAUUGGAGAUGGAAAUAUGCUUCUUUUUGCCAAAAUCCUUGCUGAGAUAUGAUCAAAUUUGAAGCCUGGAUGUAACAAGACUGUUGCUUUUAAUUGUAUAUGUAGAAAGUAUGGUCUGAUGCAAAGUUUUUUCAAUUUACUGUUUAAAACCUGCAUGGAAUUUCAGUCUUAAAAUGCCAAUAUUUUAACCACCAGCCAUCCAGCAGAAGAAAAUAAAGGUAUUCUGUGAAACAGACAAGUUUAAACAACCUGUAAUAAGUGCUUUUCAUAUAGAUUCAGUGCAAUCUGUUUAAAGAAAUACAAUUUUAAAGUGCAUAGAACUUCAUAUUUCACUUGCUUCGUACGGACCGCUAGACCUAGACUAUUAAAACAGCACAUUUUAUACUCUUUUUAUGCUUUUAUCCACUUUUCCUUGUGUUCAGAGUUCACAAAUGAGUAAAACACAUGAAAUAAAUACCACAAACACAAAUAGAUAUCAGAAAAAAAUUGUCAGAGAAAAAAUAAGGAUGCUGAUUUUGCAAAAAUGUUGAAAAAAGUGAAAAAGCUACUUUUUGGGCAUAUUAGCUGAAAAGUGACUUUUUUUUACAAAUUUCUAUCAAAUAAAAGUGGAAAUCAUUUCUUCUCAUAUAGUUUGACAAAUCAAUACCAAUAGAUCAUUCAGAGAAGUUGUCAAAGUAUAAAUUCAAAAUUUGCUGAAAUGCACCUCUUAGGCCACAGACCACAAUUAAUUCCUCUAUUAGUUCUUUAUAACUUUUUGUCUCAUUAAAAAAAUUUGACCUAAUCUUUUUGUCAAAUUUUUUGUGUGUGUAAUGUAUAGUUACAAGUCCAAAAACAUAUCCAAAAUUUCAGAAAAUUGCUCUGAUGUAACUUACAAUUUUAGCCAAUACACAUCCAUACCCCUAUGGACAAGUCAAGAGAUGUUCCGAAAACUGAAAAUAUUACCUUUUUGCACUUGACCUAAUCACUCUUUCCAUAUUAAAAUCAGUUAAAAUACCUUCAACAAAAAGUUAUUUCACCUCUCUUCUUUCAUUUCCACCCCAUAAAAACUAACAAAUGAAUGAAAAAGGCAAAGAAAAAAAAUAAAGAAAAAAUACACUAUAAUUAAGGGGAACUAUAUUCGUGAACAACGAAAAGCGGGGUCAUUAAUUGUGGUCUUGGGCCAGGCCUUGACAA
rnacentral:lncRNA from 1 species